GUCCACGCCGUAACGAUGAGUGCUAGAUGUCACGGGCUUUGACUCCUGUGGUGUCGUAGCUAACGCGUUAAGCACUCCGCCUGGGAAGUACGGUCGCAAGACUAAACUCAAAGGAAUUGACGGGGCCCGCACAAGCGGUGGAGCAUGUGGUUAAUUCGACGCAACGCGCAGAACCUUACCUGGGCUUGAAAAGGGCGGAAUCCCGCAGAAACGUGGGAGUGCUCGCAAGAGAACCGUCAUUCAGGUGCUGCAUGGCUGUCGU
rnacentral:rRNA from 1 species